GUAUUGGGUUUGUCAAGAGACAUCAGUAAAUUUAUCCGCAACCACUUCCAUGAGGAAGUAGAAGAGGAUUCUCUCCUAUACAUUCACUAUUAUAUAUGAUGUGAAAUAAUGUAUUUUCAUCUUUUGGUAGAAGACGAGAUGAACAGCAAGAUGCUCAGAAACGUUAGAAGAAAAAUGAGCAAUUGCUAUAAAUAUUUUAAUAGCUAUGAAGAUAUAAUACUUUCAAAUGGUUGUUCCUUGGCUUUGAAUUAAUGAGAUACAUUGAUCCUUUCUCUAGAUGUAUUUUUGAUGCAUAGCAUGAAUAACAAUUUAUUGUACACU